UUCUCUCAAAUCUGGAAGGCACGGAUCCCUCCUAAAGUUAAGAUUUUCUUAUGGCAAGCUUUUAGGGGUCGGUUGCCUUCGGCUGACCAAAUUCGUAAGAGAAAUUGUCCGGGCUCUCAGUUUUGUGCUCUAUGUGGCGACUUGGAGGAUACGACUCAUAUCUUCUUCCACUGUGUCUUUGCUAAGCUCAUCUGGAGCUGCAUUAAAGAAUGGCUUCAUGUUUCCUGGGACCCUGCGUCGUUCCUUGAGCUUCGGGCUCUGGCUAGUAAUUUAUCAGGAGUCACCAGACUUAUCUUUUGGGAGGGCCUAGGAGCUUUGUGUUGGUCCCUCGGGACGACUAGGAACAAAUUUACUAUUGAGCAUGUGUUUCCGGCUAAACCUGCUGAUUGCUUAUUUAAAUCAUGUGCUCUCUUGCAGCAGUGGAAAUCAUUGACUAAGGUGGACGACCAGGAUGCGCUUUCUGUGCUGAUCUCCAAAGUUUGGGCCUCGGCGUCUAAUCUAUGCAGACAAGAGCAGGAUGCUUAG
rnacentral:rRNA from 1 species